rnacentral:rRNA from 1 species
CCAAUAGCGUAUAUUAAAGUUGUUGCAGUUAAAAAGCUCGUAGUUGAACUUCGGGAUCAAUUAGUUGGUCAUGCCUUGGUAUGUACUGAUUUUAUUGGUUCUCACCUUCUAAAGAACUAUAAUGUCAUUUAUUUGAUGUUAUAGGGAAUUAGGACUGUUACCUUGAAAAAAUUAGAGUGUUUAAAGCAGGCUCACGCUUGAAUACAUUAGCAUGGAAUAAUGAAAUAGGACAUCGCAUUCUAUUUUGUUGGUUUCUAGGAUCGAUGUAAUGAUUAAUAGGGAUAGUUGGGGGCAUUAGUAUUCAAUUGUCAGAGGUGAAAUUCUUGGAUUUAUUGAAGACUAACUACUGCGAAAGCAUUUGCCAAGGAUGUUUUCAUUAAUCAAGAACGAAAGUUAGGGGAUCGAAGACGAUCAGAUACCGUCGUAGUCUUAACCAUAAACUAUGCCGACUAGGGAUCGGAUGAUGUUGAUUUUUUAAUGACUCAUUCGGCGCCUUACG